rnacentral:rRNA from 1 species
ACACAAAAAUGCACAUACUGUGAGCUCGAUGAGUAGGGCGGGACACGUGGUAUCCUGUCUGAAUAUGGGGGGACCAUCCUCCAAGGCUAAAUACUCCUGACUGACCGAUAGUGAACCAGUACCGUGAGGGAAAGGCGAAAAGAACCCCGGCGAGGGGAGUGAAAAAGAACCUGAAACCGUGUACGUACAAGCAGUGGGAGCACAGAGCAAUCUGUGUGACUGCGUACCUUUUGUAUAAUGGGUCAGCGACUUAUAUUCUGUAGCAAGGUUAACCGAAUAGGGGAGCCGAAGGGAAACCGAGUCUUAACUGGGCGUUAAGUUGCAGGGUAUAGACCCGAAACCCGGUGAUCUAGCCAUGGGCAGGUUGAAGGUUGGGUAACACUAACUGGAGGACCGAACCGACUAAUGUUGAAAAAUUAGCGGAUGACUUGUGGCUGGGGGUGAAAGGCCAAUCAAACCGGGAGAUAGCUGGUUCUCCCCGAAAGCUAUUUAGGUAGCGCCUCGUGAAUUCAUCUCCGGGGGUAGAGCACUGUUUCGGCAAGGGGGUCAUCCCGACUUACCAACCCGAUGCAAACUGCGAAUACCGGAGAAUGUUAUCACGGGAGACACACGGCGGGUGCUAACGUCCGUCGUGAAGAGGGAAACAACCCAGACCGCCAGCUAAGGUCCCAAAGUCAUGGUUAAGUGGGAAACGAUGUGGGAAGGCCCAGACAGCCAGGAUGUUGGCUUAGAAGCAGCCAUCAUUUAAAGAAAGCGUAAUAGCUCACUGGUCGAGUCGGCCUGCGCGGAAGAUGUAACGGGG